CUUCUCUAAAUUCAUCAGUCCUUGCUCUCGUUCCAUUCGACAAGAAGCGUCGCUCAACACAUUCUUCCAACAUGAAAUUCAGCGUUAUUUUUGUAUUCGCCUUGCUGGUCUUGUCUGCAUUUGUAAACAAUGCGGAAGCCAAAUGGAAGGGGUGGAAAAAAAUUGAAGCAGCAGGGAAAAGGGUAUUUAAGGCCGCAGAAAAAGUAUUACCUGUCGCUCAAGGCUACCUUGGAGUCGCAGCAGCCAUAGGAAAAAAGUAGUAUGCUACGUUGUACCAAAGAUUAUUUUAUUUAUUGAUUAAUUUAUACUUAGAUGUUAUUUUUUGUAAAUAAACCGAUUGUAAACUACA